rnacentral:rRNA from 1 species
GUGGCGAACGGGUGAGUAACACGUGAGUAACCUGCCCCCGACUCUGGGAUAACCCCGGGAAAUCGGAGCUAAUACCGGAUACGAGACGCACAGGCAUCUGUGGGUCUGGAAAGAAAUUCGGUCGGGGAUGGACUCGCGGCCUAUCAGCUAGUUGGUGGGGUAAUGGCCUACCAAGGCGACGACGGGUAGCCGGCCUGAGAGGGCGACCGGCCACACUGGGACUGAGACACGGCCCAGACUCCUACGGGAGGCAGCAGUGGGGAAUAUUGCACAAUGGGCGAAAGCCUGAUGCAGCGACGCCGCGUGGGGGAUGAAGGCCUUCGGGUUGUAAACCCCUUUCAGCAGGGAAGAAGCGAAAGUGACGGUACCUGCAGAAGAAGCGCCGGCUAACUACGUGCCAGCAGCCGCGGUAAUACGUAGGGCGCAAGCGUUGUCCGGAAUUAUUGGGCGUAAAGAGCUCGUAGGUGGUUUGUCGCGUCUGCUGUGAAAACCCGAGGCUCAACCUCGGGCCUGCAGUGGGUACGGGCAGACUAGAGUGCGGUAGGGGAGACUGGAAUUCCUGGUGUAGCGGUGGAAU